AACCCCUAAUAAAAAGUUACUGCAAAAUAGAGGUGUGCAGGAUGAACGGCAUGUAAAGUCCACUGGUAUGGAUUCUGUUUAGAGUGGACUUUGUGGUCACUACAACAGCACUGUUACAAUUAGCUCCAUCACAGAAAUUUCACCUCAUUUUGUUAUACACACUAUUCUAAUUCUGUUCAUGUCAAUAAAACAGUUUCAUUUCAAACUGCAUGAUGUUAUGUUAUCUUGAUGAGAACUAAUUU